rnacentral:tRNA from 1 species
GCCGGUGACGCCUAGUGGUUUGGCACCUAACUUGUAAUUAGGAUUACCGGGAGUUCGAUUCUCCACUCCGGCA